rnacentral:rRNA from 1 species
ACAGAUAGCCACACCACCCUAAACAUGCCUAAUAUUGUCUGACCCCAGAAGCUAAGCAGGGUUGGGCCUGGUUAGUACUUGGAUGGGAGACCACCUGGGAAUACUGGGUACUAUAGGCU